CUUCGGUAAAGAGCGGCGGACGGGUGAGUAACGCGUGGGCAACCUGCCCUGUACACACGGAUAACAUACCGAAAGGUAUGCUAAUACGAGAUAAUAUGCUUUUAUCGCAUGGUAGAAGUAUCAAAGCUCCGGCGGUACAGGAUGGACCCGCGUCUGAUUAGCUAGUUGGUAAGGUAACGGCUUACCAAGGCGACGAUCAGUAGCCGACCUGAGAGGGUGAUCGGUCACAUUGGAACUGAGACACGGUCCAAACUCCUACGGGAGGCAGCAGUGGGGAAUAUUGCACAAUGGGCGAAAGCCUGAUGCAGCAACGCCGCGUGAGCGAUGAAGGCCUUCGGGUCGUAAGCUCUGUCCUCAAGGAAGAUAAUGACGGUACUUGAGGAGGAAGCCCCGGCUAACUACGUGCCAGCAGCCGCGGUAAUACGUAGGGGGCUAGCGUUAUCCGGAAUUACUGGGCGUAAAGGGUGCGUAGGUGGUUUCUUAAGUCAGAGGUGAAAGGCUACGGCUCAACCGUAGUAAGCCUUUGAAACUGGGAAACUUGAGUGCAGGAGAGGAGAGUGGAAUUCCUAGUGUAGCGGUGAAAUGCGUAGAUAUUAGGAGGAACACCAGUUGCGAAGGCGGCUCUCUGGACUGUAACUGACA
rnacentral:rRNA from 1 species